rnacentral:rRNA from 1 species
UGGUUAGUAAGUUGGUCAUGCCUUCGGUGUGUACUGGCUUUACUGAUUCCUCCUUCUUGACGAACCGUGAUGUCAUUAAUUUGGUGUUGCGGGAAAUCAGGACUGUUACUUUUUGAAAAAAUUAGAGUGUUUAAAGCAGGCUAACGCUUGAAUACAUUAGCAUGGAAUAAUGAAAUAGGACGUUAAUCCUAUUUUGUUGGUUUCUAGGAUCGACGUAAUGAU